UGAGGAACAUGACCUUCGGCGGGGGAUAGCCGGCCCAACGGCCGGGUAAUACCGCGUACGACCACAUGGGGACAUCCCUGAGUGGUGAAAGCAGCAAUGCGCCGAUGGAGUGCCUCGCGGCCUAUCAGCUAGUUGGUGAGGUAACGGCUCACCAAGGCAACGACGGGUAGCUGGUCUGAGAGGAUGGCCAGCCACAGUUGGGACUGAGACACGGACCCAAACUCCGUAGGGACGG
rnacentral:rRNA from 1 species